rnacentral:rRNA from 1 species
UACGAAGGGGGCUAGCGUUGUUCGGAAUUACUGGGCGUAAAGUGUGCGCAGGCGGCAGAGCAAGUCGAGUGUGAAAGCCCCGAGCUUAACUUGGGAAUUGCGCUCGAAACUACUUUGCUGGAGUGUGGCAGAGGAAGGUGGAAUUCCAGGUGUAGCGGUGAAAUGCGUAGAGAUCUGGAGGAACACCGAUGGCGAAGGCAGCCUUCUGGGCCAACACUGACGCUCAUGCACGAAAGCGUGGGGAGCAAACAGG